rnacentral:rRNA from 1 species
UACAGAGGGGGCAAGCGUUGUUCGGAAUUACUGGGCGUAAAGGGCGCGUAGGCGGCUUUCUAAGUCGAACGUGAAAUCCCCGGGCUCAACCCGGGAACUGCGUCCGAUACUGGUCGGCUUGAGUGCAGGAGAGGAACGCGGAAUUCCAGGUGUAGCGGUGAAAUGCGUAGAUAUCUGGAGGAACACCGGUGGCGAAGGCGGCGUUCUGGACUGCAACUGACACUGAGGAACGAAAGCCAGGGGAGCAAACGGG